GUUUUUGUUGAAAUGUGGCUUCAUCACUAUUCCUUGGAGAUGUAUCAAAAAAUGCAGUCCCCUCACACCAAGGGCUGCUGUCCCGAGGUUCGUCCAGCAGAAACUCUACCUCUUCUUGGAGCAUUGCUUUGGCCACUGGCCCCUGGACGCAUCGUUCAGAGCUGUCCUGGAGAUGUGGCUGAGCUACCUGCAGCCGUGGCGGUACGCGCCUGACAAGCAGGCUCCGGGCAGCGACUCCCAGCCCCGGUGUGUGUCGGAGAAAUGGUGAGCCU
rnacentral:sRNA from 1 species